rfam:Halobacterium sp. DL1, complete genome.
CGGCACGGAGGAUAGACGAAGUCGCCUCACGGCGGCUGGACGCGAAAUUCUCC